CAAUAGGAAAGAACUGUUUUUGCCAGAAUUUUAUUGUCCGCGGAGUGUUUGAUGUUUUUGGCUUUGAGGCCACAUCAGUCUUGAAGGUGACAACCAAGAUUGGUUAGAACAUAGUAAUAGCAAUUUCUGAGUCAGAAUUCCAGUUCUCUGCACGUUCCUACCUUUCUGUUCCCUCGUCCUGCGGUGACAAGUUCUAAAGCACCCGGAACAUCUUCCUGUUCUCCCAUUAGCGAAGUUUAUCUCAGAUAUAAAGUUGGCUCUCAUGCCAUUUCCUCUUUUGUGGUUGUAUCUGCCUACACCUGAUCUACUCACUGUUCUGAAAUAAAGAUACUGGGACUGGACUGUGAGGAUACACCAGCCAGCUAUAAAUGGUCUUGACCAAUGUGAACAGCAUGAAUGAUCUUCCAGUCCCAGAGCGAGUCUGACGGAGCUCUGGAACCAGACUCCUGCUCUCACCACUGUGCCAUCCUGUCGUCCUUUAUCAUCUGUCUAAGAAGCCUCAUUUCACAUUUUCCAAUUCUACUGUUCCUGAAGCAAAACAAAGUCAGUCACCCAGACCCUGAAGUAGGAUAAAGCAAAUGUGAAGGUAUUUUUCAAAGAAGUAGGCUCCUUUCUGACUAUAAUAAUUCAAACAUCGCCUUAUUUAAGGUAUGGAAAGCCAUUGAAAGGUGUUAAACAGGGAUGUGACAGGAUUUGAUCUACUGGCUCAGAGGACACUCUCAAUGGGUGAGAAAAAUAGAUCCAAAGAGGAACAAGGAAGAACAAUAGAGACCUUGGGAAGCCACUAUGGUUUCUGAGGUGAGAAAUGGUGGCGACUUGGACCAGGUCGGUGGUAGUGAAAGUAGACAAAAAUGGAUGGAUUGGUGGUGGGAUGCACGUGGACGAUGUGGAAGAGAGGAAUGAAGCCUGAUCCAUCUUUUUGACUUGAGACAAAUGUAAUAGAAUGUGGGAAUGGGGAAGCAGUUUUGUAGGAAUUGAUUCUGUUUUGAACGUGUUAGGUUUGAAAUGUUUAUAAGCUAUCCAAACAAAGAAGUCAAGUUGGCAGGACAAGCUUACUGGUGUGAGCUCAGA